GGUAAACGCCAAUCAAGGUGUGCAGUUCAGUAAAGAGAACCCGUUCUUCCCAUGGUGGUUGCUGUGUGCCGUGGAGAGUGUCAAUCAAGCGCUGGCAGUCAGAUUCGAUCAAAAUAGGAGCCGUAUUCAGUCCAAGGUGCAGCAGGUGAUGCAAGGUUAGGGUACCCACGGGGAGGAGGUUCCCACGUCUGCCCUGUUUUGACAGUAGUAGUCCCAGCGUUGGGGUGGCUCUGCAGAAUAGCUUGGUGGACUUGAUCGUGAGAUAUGGCGUCAGCAACUACCUGCACUGGAUUAGGGGGAGUCCUGCGGAAGAUCCAGUUGUUGCGUGCACACCAGAUCCGCCAUAGAACUUGCGCAAUCAGUUCGAGCCGAGGUAAGAGUCUUACAUUGAGUGCCCUGUCUGUGAGCCAGUCAUCAAAACGAUGAAUGGUGUAUGGUGAGAGUGAGAUAUUCAGCUGCGGGUUGUUCCAUAUUGUUGUUGUCUAAGAGCAGAAGAAGAAAAUAUGUUCGAGUGUUUCUGGAAAACCCUGAUCACAUAACCUGCAUAUAUAGGGUCAGUUAUAAUGUGACGGUGAAGUAAAUUGGCCUUUGUUGCUAGGGCGUUGUGACAAGCGGACCAUAGAAAACUGCAAAUCUUUGGUUCUACUGGUAGUAGCCAUAUUCUGCGCCAUAGUUUGCGUGAGAACUGAUGUGAGGUAGAGGCUACUUGUGCAUUUGUUGUCUCUUGGAUUUUGCUGAUAAUGUUUUUAUAGUUGCUUUUCACUGAGUAA